rnacentral:rRNA from 1 species
CCUACGGGAGGCAGCAGUAGGGAAUAUUGGACAAUGGGCGCAAGCCUGAUCCAGCCAUGCCGCGUGAGUGAAGAAGGCCUUAGGGUUGUAAAGCUCUUUUGGCGGGGACGAUAAUGACGGUACCCGCAGAAUAAGCCCCGGCUAACUUCGUGCCAGCAGCCGCGGUAAU